AGCCGGACGACAAGUUGAGUAGCAAUACUUGACCUAGAGUGGCGUAAGGGUGCGUAACACGUAUGCAAUCUGCCCACAGCCGGGGUAUAGCCCUCCGAAAGGAGGAUUAACACCCCAUAGAAAAAUGGAAUGGCAUCAUUUUAUUUUUAAACUACGGGGCUGUGGAUGAGCAUGCGCUUGAUUAGCUAGUUGGCGGGGUAAUGGCCCACCAAGGCGAUGAUCAAUAGGGGACCUGAGAGGGUGAUCCCCCACACUGGCACUGAGAUACGGGCCAGACUCCUACGGGGGGCAGCAGUAGGGAAUAUUGGACAAUGGGUGAGAGCCUGAUCCAGCCAUGCCGCGUGCAGGAAGAAGGCCUUCUGGGUUGUAAACUGCUUUUGCCGGGGGAUAAAAGAUCCCUGCGGGGAGAAUUGAAGGUACCCGGUGAAUAAGCCACGGCUAACUACGUGCCAGCAGCCGCGGUAAUACGUAGGUGGCAAGCGUUGUCCGGAUUUAUUGGGUUUAAAGGGUGCGUAGGCGGUUCUUUAAGUCAGUGGUGAAAUACAGCCGCUUAACGGUUGAGGUGCCAUUGAUACUGAAGAACUUGAGUACAGUCGAGGUAGGCGGAAUUGACGGUGUAGCGGUGAAAUGCUUAGAUAUCGUCAAGAACACCGAUAGCGAAGGCAGCUUACUAGGCUGUAACUGACGCUGANGCACGAAGGUGCGGGGAUCAAACAGGAUUAGAUACCCUGNUAGUCCGCACAGUAAACGAUGGUCACUCGGUGUUGGCGAUACACAGCCAGCGCCUUANCGAAAGCGUUAAGUGACCCACCUGGGGAGUACGCCCGCAAGGGUGAAACUCAAAGGAAUUGACGGGGGUCCGCANAGCGGUGGAGCAUGUGGUUUAAUUCGAUGGUACGCGAGGAACCUUACCUGNCUAGAAUGCCCUUGA
rnacentral:rRNA from 1 species